CUGGUGCUGGGCUUAGUGCUCCUUGCUUAUGCCGGGCUGAUCGCUCACGCUCAGCCGCAGUGCGGCAGCCAGGGCGGUGGCGCGACGUGCAGCAACAACCUCUGCUGCAGCCAGUGGGGAUACUGUGGCCUCGGCGGCGACUACUGCGGCAAUGGCUGCCAGAGCGGCCCAUGCUACACUACCUAGUCAGGGCCGUCGUCCACCACCGGAUGUGCAACAACAACAGGAAUAUAUAUAUGGUCGACUUGUGCGCAGUACUCUACCUAUAUAUGAUGAAAUAAAAGUGCUGCGACUACAGUAAGUACGAACUUAAGCUUGUGUAAUGUGCAAGAAGUACCCGAGGGCGAGGAGUAUAUGCACGCACGUGCAUUUAUUAAAGCCCGUAUGUACUAUGUAUGAAUAAAGUUGUGAUGCAUCCUGUGACAAAGCAGGACUGUGCUUAUACAACUUAAUCUUCAUAUGCAUCUUCCUUGUUAAAUCUUUAGACAUGCAAAUUGACUCUAGCUCGAUCCAUAGAGCACCAGCAGUUUUGGUCAACAAAACCACUUCCAAAAUAUUAUUUGAAAGAUAAAGACAAAUAUGAGAUAAGGCCUUACGAAUUUUCCUCUUCUCGUCACCGCUUCAAGACAUUGAAUCUUAGUUUCUAAAUUUAUCAACCGCAUCAUCUAAAUCAGCUUGCGCUAAACAGCUCGCAUCUAGACAGCUCGGAUAUAAAAUGGUACCAUUGAAGUGUAGUGGGGUACUUACAUUAGUCACUUCUAGUUCUUGAACCCAUGGAGUUACACCCGUUUUUAUUAACUAUAGAUGUAAUAUUGUUAUUUCUAUGCUACAGUAGUACAAAUACUGUGUCAGAUUCAUGAUACUUGUUUUAUUAGAGUUUUUUUAAUGAAAUAGGAGGGAUUCCCUACUGUUAUUUUAUUAGAGUUGGUCAAAAAAAAUAAGACAUGUGGAUUUACCAUUUUACCCUCAACUAAUCUUCUGUAAAAGAAAGCAAGCAUCGAGAAAGAAGUUAGAUAAUAAUGUGAGGGGUAAGACUAGAAAUUAAAAGGCAUGUAAAAGUUACAAGUUUUAAACAAUAUAUAUUUUGAAUAUUGUAAAGAAGUCAAAAAUAGUAUUUAUUUUUAACAGGAUUAGGGAGUAGAGAAUUCACCUAACUAUACAUGUAUUGAAUAUAGUCUUGUUACUUAUCAUAGUAAUCGAAGAAAAUUGUAAAACCGUUAUGUUCUUAACAUUAACUCUAUGCUAGAGCAGUACAAAUACACGAAUACAUGUUAGAAUUGGAAUGUUUUAUUCCUAUUUACAAACACGUGAAAAAAAUACCUUAUAAGAUGGAAUGGCAUUGUGGAACAGCAGAACUCACGUGGAAGUUGAGAAACAUUUUCAAGCCUGCCAAAGCUCAUAUGUAUUUUUUGAGAGGGUACACAUAUAGGACGCACACUAGACACACCGCACGCAUACACAAGCGUGAGCAUUCAUACACAUGCUAGAGAAGAGAUUGGAAAGACUACAACCCUAUUGCACGGGAAACGCGCAGUACCACUAAACGCGCAUGCGUGCGUGUACCCAUAACAACCUAGGAAUAAAUCCUGGAAAACCGUCCUCAUUUGGGAUCGAACCUAUGACCUCCUGCUGGAGGCUCGGCUGGAGAUCUAUAAUCCACUCGACAACAAGGGCGGUUAAGAAGCCCCCCGUUGCAUGAUGCAUCACCAGAUUGAACCCUUAAUGAUAGACAGAUGUAUGAUGUGUUCGAAAAUCUCACACCCACAUUAAAUUGUUAUGGUAGUGUAUGCACAAUAGAAAGGAAAUGCAAGCAGCGUGUAACUAAAUCAUAGGCAGAGUGAUUCAAAGAUGAUAUGAAGACCAACUCAUUAUGAUGAAGAUAUGUUUUAUCACACGAUUGAAACGAAUCUGCCUCUUAAAAUUUCCGCUUCAUUUACUCAUCAGUAUUGGCAAACAGUGGCACCAACAAGUGCAUGUAAAAGAGUACUCUGUUUUCCAAGUCUCCAAUUUGCAUCACACUGAUCACUGGUACUCUGUUUCGCGAACCUCGUCGUCCUAGCACACUGAUUACAGCAUUGGUCAGACUGCGCGGCAAAGAAGCAAGGGAGGUGCCCAUCCCCGGUGGUGGAGGCGGCGCCACGAUGGGAUCGGAGGCGCCGUGGGUAGGGCGCCGCGGCAGUGGCCCGUAGAAGGGGAGGGGAACGGUCGCACGCAAGGAGAGGGGCUCGGCCCCAGUAGUGGAAGCGGCGCGGGGAGGCACCGUGACUGGAACGCACUGCAGGAGGAGGUACGGCGCUGCGGCCCGACGGUGGAGGCGGCGCCGGGAGGCGCUGCAGCGCCGGAGCCCGCGGGGGAGGGGAGCGGCGCCAGCGACGGGAGGGGCACGGACCCAGCAGUGGAGGCGGCGCAGGGAGUCGCCGUGAUGGGAAGGCGCUGUAGGAGGAGGGGAGGUGGCGCGGUGCUACGGCUCGACGGUGGAGGAGGCGCGGGGAGGUGCUGCGGCGGCGGAGCUUGCGGUGGAGGGGAGCGGCACCGGAGCAGGGAGGGAUACGAAAUUUCGAGAGCCUGACAUCGUCCUGCUCGCUUCUCCGAAUAUUUGGCAAAGUCCCCAGUGUGGACUGCCUAUAUAGGGUGGCAUUAGCAGGGGUGGGUGAUGGUGCCUGAAAAUCCUUUCCAAAAGUGGGUGAUGGCAUCACCCGGCGCUGGAAUCAUCCGCCCCUACAAAAUAUUUUAGUUUUUAUUGUCAAAAAAUGAUUUAAAAUGUGGAAAAUAGCAAAACACAAAAAAAUUAAAAUCCCACACUAAAGUUAUAAUGAAUAAUAGAUCAUGGAAAAAAUAAGUAAAGAGUAUUUUAGUACAGAUAAGGGUUACAUGAGAUAAUUGUUUCAAACUACAUAUUACAUGAGAUAAUUGUGAGCCCGUCCACUUCAACACCUUUUGGGUGUUUGACCCAACGACACCGAAAGACUGGGAUCUGUAUAUUGGAACCAUGGGCUAGCUACCAAUCUUUUGAUCGUUUUAUCUUCCAUGGUUUCCCAUCUGGUAGAUUUAGGUCCUUCAACCAUGCAGAUAAUCGAAGGUUGUGCUCCCUCAUGAUCCAAUCUUCCGAGCGGCCAGCACAAAUCAUAGUCAAGUGUUGACCGACUAAAGGUGACAUAGUUGUGAGGUGUUGCAUGAUGCUAUAAUGUGUGCUUGUUGCACAUCUUUGAAUUCCUUGUUGACGAAGGUUUUCCUUCCAACUGUGUAGAAUUGACAUGAAACGCUCAUAUGUCCACAUUUAGUGCAGGUACAGUGGACCCAGUGCCCGUAUCUGAUCAACCAUGUGAAUCAUGAGAUGUUCCGUUAUAUCAAAAAAUUCUGGAGGAAAGCACAUCUCUAGCUGCACCAUAGUCUCCCCAAUAAGUUCUUGGAGGUGUUUCAAUUCAUCUUCGUCGAUAACCUUUUGAGAAAUUUUAUUGAAGAAGUAACCAUAGCAUCUGAUUUUUGUGCUUGGUACAUCCAUGUUCUAUCCGUCUCUCUGAAUAGCAAAAAAAAUUACACAAAAUGAAAAUAUCAUCCAUGUCAACUUGUUUUAUUCUAAGAAAUACUAAAUAUAUAUAAUUAUACAUGUAGUAUUUCCUAAUGAAAAUAUAUAUCAUCCAUGUAACCUUGAUUAAAACUAUCAUAAAUGUUAAACAAACACUAAAUAUAUAACUACACAUGUAGUAUUUUGUUGGUGCGAAAUCUGGCCGACAAGUAAAUAUUUGCAGUUUUGCCAUGCGUUAGAUCAGAUAUGGCCUAACAGACAACAACACAGGAUGUAUACUAUUUUUGGGCAAUGCACCCUACAUCUAGGCGGAGUCAGUCAGUUGACUUUAUUCCUGAGCCCAGGUGCUCAAAGUUUGUAGUGGAGGUACAAAUGAGAGGAGAAUGAGAGGGGGUGCCUAAGUCCUGGCCUUGUUCUCGUCUUCAUGGAGGGGGUCCCUGUUCUCCUCGUCAGGCCACUCCGUUAUAGCGAGUAGGUUUACGACGGUACUAUACAGGCGUGCGCAAGGCGUGGCACGGUACGGUUCUGCGUACGGCCGGCUGACCUGGGUGCUUCCUUGUUAUCCAUCCCAUGUACUCCCUGGACCCACACUAAGUGGGCGUCCCCAUUGUUUGUCCCAGUCGCCCCGACUGAGUCGGUUGGUGGAGCAGUACAGGUGGUAUGGCGUAUCCCCAGUCGGGAGAGCUCAGUCGGGAGCGCUCAGUCGGGAGAACUCAGUCAGGGUCGCACUGUGGCCCCACCCUCGACUGGCUCCUUCUAGUCGAUGCGCCAACCAGGCUUCCUAGUCGGAGGAGCCAGCUAGUGGUCGGAUUAUGGUCUCGACGUACCUGGGCCGGCCCUUCGUGGUCUCGGCCUAGCGUCAUUGCUGCACCCUUCGUUGGGCCAAGUGUUGUGGGAAGGCAAUCCCAUUGGGGACCCCGGGUCUAUGGACUCGUCAUAUUUCCAAAUAAUAAGUGAAAAUAUAGAAAUCUUAGAAAAAAGAAAAAUAAUUAUUCAUCAUUCGCAUGGGAAGCAUUUGUAGGGGUGGGUCGCCCCUUGAACCGCCCCUGGAGAAGAAUUUCGAGUGGCGGGUUCCACCGUGACCCGCUCCUGGAGGGUCAUUUUCAAGUGUGGGUCACCCUGUGCCCGCCCUUGCAAAUUAUUCUCCAGGGGCGGGGCGGAUGCUAUAAUAGCCACUUCCGUUUUGUAAGUGUGGGUGGCAAUUCCGUCGGCUCCUGGAAAAAAAUCAGGACACCCCUACAGAUUUUUUUUUAUAGUGGUGUCUUGACCAAUUGUUGUCUAGAUGCAAGUCGAGGCCCUCAAGUCCAACGUCUCUAGACGUUGACUACAGGAUCUAGAUGAUCGUCUAGACGAAUAGCCGUUGAACUCCGUACUAUUGGUGUAAUUUGAUUGAUAAAUUUUCUUUUGGGAUUCUGAUCCAUUGCGAUUCUUACAUGAUUUUUUUUGUUAAAACGUACCUAAGUAUCAGGUGUAGGUAAACGAUGUGACAAUUUCAAGUACACAUUGAGGGUCUCAACCAAGAAAUCGACACCGAAUAUAUUAUUUUGUUCGAUUUUCCCGAGACGAUGACGGAAUAAGCUCAUGGGAUUAUGAAAAGAAAGUGUGAUUUAUAUUAAUGUAGUGAGCUCUAAGCUGCAUGCUAAGGGCACAGUUACUGUGUGUUUGGUUACUGGGUUGGAGUGGGUCGGGUUCAACUCCCUUCAUCCCCUGUUUGGUUGAAAAAUAAUGUGGAACGGGUUCGACCCAGAUGGCAAUAUUCCCUCUUGAUCCGGGUCGAGCGGAUUCCUCCAAAAUGGAGGGACCGCGCGCACCCAGACGGAAGGCAUGCCCGCACGCCUCCCUUGGUCGCUGCCAGCGCGUGGGGAGCCAGCGUCGCCGGGCGGGGGAGCAGGGCGGCUCGGCGUGGCGCGGAGGUCGGCUGGGGAGAGGGAGGGAGGGGCAGCAGCCAGCGGCUGGCGCAGGAGGAGGGAGGGAUGGCCAGUGCAGGAGAGGGAGGGAUGGCCGGCGCGGCACGGGGAGCAGGGGCAACGAAGGGGCGGUGCUGGGGUGGUCAGUCCAAGGAGGAGCUGGGUAGGAGGAGGCCGGUCCGGGAGGAGACGGCGCAGGGGCGGCUGGGCCGGGGAGGUGGGGGCCGGCGGCGCUGGGAACCGCCAGCGGCCGGGGAGGAGCCGGGAAGGAGUAGGUCUUGCGGGGAGGAGAGGAGGAAGAAGAUGGAAGGGAGGGGAAAAAGAAGAAGAAGAGGAUAAUAGGUGGGCCCCGCGGCUGACAGGUGGGGUCCACAACUAACUGUGUUAAAAGAACAUUCAUCCUAAUCCUCUCAACCUCUUCAACAAAACAAAAGACCAGGUCCAACCCAUCCCUCUUAUCCAAACACGAGCUGGGUUCACUCCAACUCACAAAAGUGCGACCCACAUGAUCCUAAAAUCAAACUUAUUGAGCAAUCAGCUCUGAGGUUCAAAUUUUUACUGCAGAUGUUUUCACUCCGCAUCUUCCGUUACUUUCGGUGGUAUGCACAUUAAUUAUGUACAUUAGAUAUCAUAUUGUAUUGGGAAACUGCCACUCUCUUUGCGAUACGAGGAUCAAACAGCUAGCCAAGAAAUAAUACCGAUUGUCAAGCACUCAUUCUUCUAUCUGCGAUGACGCAUGUCGAGAUCGACAGGUUUUGCAGGAUGCUUUGCGGACUACACAAUGUUGACCUGGAGGAUCCUAGCUCUGUCAAUAUGUGUUUUCUUUGUUCACAAGGUCUCAUAAUCCCACGUUCUUCUCACAUAAUUUCGACCAUCUCUCUCAUUUAUUUGUUAAAUUUUACGUAUAGUACCAAAGCCUUCACUAAAAUAAGGGACUGUUGCUUGAAGGAAUGAAUUAUGUGGCAUGUUCAAGUGCGGAUGCAUUGAAUAGGUAAUGUAUAAGUGCGGCAUGGCAUCAAAUGUACGCAGAUGAAGACUGGUGGGGUAUUAAUUUCAUGCUACAAGAUCCAAAUGCAUAUAAAAAAUUUGUUUACUAGCAGCCAAGUGAUCAUGUUACAGGCAUGAUAACCAUAUUACUAUUUGGUCCCCGUCAUUGUGGUUUUCCUUUUCUCCUGUUUAUUUUGCAUCACAAGACUUCCCUUCGACAUACGAUUCUGCCACUACAGUGACUGUGUUUCAAACGUCUUGUUACUGUUUGGUCUAUAUGCAUUUGCUCAGUUUAAACAUUGGAUAAUGUAUUCUCAUGGCAGCGAUAAAUGGAAGAAGCUUUAUGCAACAGAAGCACAAGUAGAGUCUUCAAGGGAGGAGCUUGGUCGUCGUUGAUUUAGAUUAUAGUUUAUGUGAAACUGUUGGUUUUAGGAAGUGCUUCAGAUCGCAAAAUGUUUUUACCUUGAUGCUAAAUGCAAUCGUGUGCUUUAAAAUACGAAUUUUUUCCCCUAAUCCAAGCAAAUGGAAAUUUUUUGUUGUGAUCUACUUCCUGGAGAAAUUCCUGCAUAAAUUCUUAGGUGGUGCCUAGUGUUAUACAUACAUAUGUAUCUUGACUAAUCGUUGCCUAGCAAUGCUAGUCGAGCUUCUCAAGUCCAACGUAUAGACGUUGUAAACAGGAUCUAGAUAAGCGUCAACAGCCGUCGUCGUUGAACUUCUUUGGUACUCACUGCUCUGUACUAUAGCCGUGCUUCUGAAAUUUGUGGCCAUUCCGGAAGAUACAUAACAGUCCUCGUCCUGAUGUACUAUGCUGUCAGUAAAUCACCUUGUGACUUUGAGUGGACCGGAUGGGUCUAAGGAAAUGGUAGCUGCUCUUUAUAAAGGUGCGGCUUGUAGGUUCAAGCCUCCAUCAUCGUUUACUCAAUUAGACACUGGCAUAAAGCUUACAUUAAGCUCAUACUAUGGCGACGGUGAAAACAGCUGCAACCAUGGUCAUGAAGGUCCUGGUGCUGGGCUUAGUGCUCCUUGCUUAUGCCGGGCUGAUCGCUCACGCUCAGCCGCAGUGCGGCAGCCAGGGCGGUGGCGCGACGUGCAGCAACAACCUCUGCUGCAGCCAGUGGGGAUACUGUGGCCUCGGCGGCGACUACUGCGGCAAUGGCUGCCAGAGCGGCCCAUGCUACACUACCUAGUCAGGGCCGUCGUCCACCACCGGAUGUGCAACAACAACAGGAAUAAAUAUAUGGUCGACUUGUGCGCAGUACUCUACCUAUAUAUGAUGAAAUAAAAGUGCUGCUACUACAGUAAGUACGAACUUAAGCUUGUGUAAUGUGCAAGAAGUACCGAAGGGCGAGGAGUAUAUGCACGC
rnacentral:lncRNA from 1 species